rnacentral:lncRNA from 1 species
GUCUUGCCAAGUAAAGGGCUACAUACUUGAUUGUCUCCCUGGCCUUUGAAGAUCCAAGCUGCUAAAAGAAGACAACUCUGAGUUCCAGGUGUGCUUCCGGAAACAGAUGCUACUCCAUAAGGCCUGGGAGCCACCAGGCUCCGCAACCAACCCUGCUUAGGGUGGGCAGGAUGCUUCUCAGGUGGACAGAAAUGGCUGGCUAGCCUAAUGACAAGGACACACACACACACACACACACACACACACUCCCAGCCUCAGCCUGAUGCUUUCCCAGCUUUCUCAGAAGAUAUGCCCUUGGUCUGUCUCCAGAAGGAAGGGGCUGAGUACUGAGUACUGAGGCCUCCCAUCUGUACUGACCCUGGGUUGUCUUAGUCGAAUCACCAGCCAGAGGUGGAGAAAGCCAAAGGUUUAAAAGAUCUCCAUUGUUUGCUCUCACACAAGUAUCAGUUUGCCACCAAAGGGAAAAAAAUGGUUGUCAGUGUCCAGAAUUUUUCGUUUCAGUGACGUGUGCAGGAAUAGUUCCUAGAAAACCAGAGACAACCUCUCCCCCAACCCCACUCCCACCCCAUCCCUGGCCCCAUAACAGGCCCCUGUGCAGCUUUUCAGGAGGCUCUGGAGAUGGGAUCCUGGGUCACAUGACCUGCUGCCUGGUCAGUGUCAGGAGGACAGCCAGUGUUAGGGGGAGCAGUGCUUCCUCCCCCUAAUUUGGUUAGUCAACACCUCAGCCUGAGCCUGGGACCAUAAAGCUGAGAAGUGCUUGCCGUGUGUGAAGUGUGCCGCUAAUAAAUCUCCCUCAUAUCUCAUACAGAAAAGCAAGAGCACUUAGCAUCCCCACUUAAGCUGAGAAGCAGAGGCAGUGAGAUGUCCUGCAGCUUGCCCACAGUGUCUCUCCUGUUUGUCUGUAUCGCUCCUAAAACAGCAGGGAGCGGUCUCCCAUUGGGUGCACCUGCUGCCUUCACCCUGCUAACUCUCUCUUCUCUGAGGCUACUGCUCAAGACCUCAUUCUCUACUGGGUGCUGAGGUCCCCUUGGACCCCGACACUAGCCUCUUGAGCCUCCUGGGAGCUGGUAGCACAUAAGAUCCCACUUCUUAAAUAUGGCCUUCAUUUCUCCAAACAACACCCAAAUGCAGCUGCAGAGUGAUCCCUUGUUGUGACUGCCAGGAACCAUCAGGCAGCUCUGUGCAAGGAGAGACUUUUCCGGUCUGUGCCUUGGAAGGGAUGCCCCAGCAAGGAGAGUGAAUGCAAGUGGGGGCCCUUGCACAGGCCAAGGCUGCUCGGGUGUUUGGAGAGGGUUGUGUAAUUUAUGGCAGGGAGAGAACAGAGGGCAUCUGGUGCAUAAGCGAUGGGUUGGGGCUUCAGGGAGAAUGGCAGAUUUUAUGUGGCAUGCUAAAUCUGCACUCAGUUCUAAAGUGAAACGGUGGUUUUGGGUUCUCAUUAUUAUAAUGAAACAGCUGGGAUAGUUAACUAAUAAAUACAAGAAAGCUGUUCAGGUCACAAUUCCAGAGGUUCUGGUCUCGGGCUGGGCAGACCCAUUGCUUUGGUUUCUGAUAGGGAUGUUAGCGGGCUAAGGGAGGAAAUGUGUGACAAAACUGUUCACUAGGUGGCCAGGAAACAAAAGUCACCAAAAUCCCCUCCAAGAACAUGCUUCCAGUGACCUAAGGACUUCUGGUGAGGCUCCACUUCUAAAAGGACCUUAGCACUUCCUAAUAGCACC